rnacentral:lncRNA from 1 species
AAAAAACACAUGUUUACAUUAUACAUCGGAAGUAACGAGAAUUAAAGAAACAAAGAUGGAGAGUUUCCUAAUUACCGAAGUAAUUAAACAGGAAGAACUUGUGGAUGAUCCACUUAAUUAACAAGUCCUCUUUUCUUUUAAAUAAAUAACAAGUUUUUGAACGGGAAAUGCAAUUAUCUAGGUGAAUUUUAAGAAUUCAUGACAUACAAUAGUCACGUGAUCAUACAAGAGCUUAUAAUAUACAUAUAUACGUAACCUAGUCCAAAGCUCAGGGACGCCCGGGUUGUCUUCCACUCGGAGCCUGGGGUGCAGGUCUUGCCUGAUCUUUGUCGCGGCCUCUGUCGGUGUUAAUCCUUGGAGGAGGUGGAUGAUAUUUCCUGUAAAUGCAAGCUCACUUUAGCUAAUAUAUAAUUAAUAAAAUUUAAUUCUUUCACCAAAAAAUAAAUAAACAAAAGAAAGAAAAGUCGUAUAUAUUUUAAAGUACUGCUUUAUAUUGACAUAAUAGAGGAAAUUAACGAACAAAAGUGAUGCCCUACGUCAUAACUUGAGAAGAUGAAGAAAAGAGAAGCAUUAAGCAGCAUAAGUGCAAGAGCAACCACAAAAACCUCAUCUCUCUCCCUCUCUCUUCACUUUUAUG